UGAGAUGAUGUUUACAAGUCAUUUGACUUAACUUUCGUUCUACUGAUGACCAUGAAUGAACCUAUUUAAUCACUGAUC
rnacentral:snoRNA from 1 species